UAUUUUUACAAAAUGCUGAAAAUUUUAGCGGCAUUCACUAAUUUAUGCUAGUAAUUUAUCCCAUUUUGCAAUAUUAAUGAUAAAUUAUUGCUAAAUUAUUAAAUCUAGCGGCAAUUAUCAAGUAAUGCUGUUAUAUAUAGUAAUUAAUAUGAUUUAAAUAAAUGCUGCGGAGUAAAUGCUGCUAAAUGAUAAAUUUGUUAUAGUGCGACUACCACGAGA
rnacentral:lncRNA from 1 species